UUUUAAAUAAAGACUAGAACAAAAGAUUUAACAUUUAAAUUUAUUUAUUAAUUUUAAUAAUCAUAAUUUUUUUAUAUGUAAAAAAACAUAUAUUUAUAAAAAAGACGACAAGACCCUAUUGAACUUAACUUUAGUUUUACUGGGGCAGUAAACUAAUUAUUAUUUUAAUAUAAUUAUAUAAUAGUAUAUCUAAUAUUAUUAAUAAAAAUCAGUUACCAUAGGGAUAACAGCGCAAUUAUAUUUUAAAGUUCUUAUUAAAAAUAUAGAUUACGACCUCGAUGUUGAAUUAAUAUCCUAAUUAAAGCAAAUUUUAAAAAAGGAAGUCUGUUCGACUUUUAAAAAAUUACAUGAUUUGAGUUCAGACCGGUAUAAGCCAGGUCGGUUUCUAUCUUUUUCAAAAUUCUUUAUAGUACGAAAGGACCCAAAGAUAUAAUUAAAUUUAUUUAUUAGCAGAUAAAUGCAUUAGAUUUAGAAUCUAAUAAAACUAAA
rnacentral:rRNA from 1 species